rnacentral:rRNA from 1 species
AACGAACGCUGGCGGCAUGCCUAACACAUGCAAGUCGAACGAGACCUUCGGGUCUAGUGGCGCACGGGUGCGUAACGCGUGGGAACCUGCCCUUAGGUUCGGAAUAACUCCCCGAAAGGGGUGCUAAUACCGGAUAAUGUCUUCGGACCAAAGAUUUAUCGCCCUUAGAUGGGCCCGCGUUGGAUUAGCUAGUUGGUAGGGUAAAAGCCUACCAAGGCGACGAUCCAUAGCUGGUCUGAGAGGAUGAUCAGCCACACUGGGACUGAGACACGGCCCAGACUCCUACGGGAGGCAGCAGUGGGGAAUAUUGGACAAUGGGCGAAAGCCUGAUCCAGCAAUGCCGCGUGAGUGAUGAAGGCCUUAGGGUUGUAAAGCUCUUUUACCCGGGAUGAUAAUGACAGUACCGGGAGAAUAAGCUCCGGCUAACUCCGUG